rnacentral:rRNA from 3 species
UACGUUGUCUGCUAUACGCAGGAAGACCCGC